rnacentral:rRNA from 1 species
UGCGUAGGCGGCGCGGUAAGUCGGGUGUGAAAUCUCGGGGCUUAACUCCGAAACUGCAUUCGAUACUGCCGUGCUUGAGGACUGGAGAGGAGACUGGAAUUUACGGUGUAGCGGUGAAAUGCGUAGAUAUCGUAAGGAAGACCAGUGGCGAAGGCGGGUCUCUGGACAGUUCCUGACGCUGAGGCACGAAGGCCGAGGGGAGACGAAAC